AAUAUAUAUGCGCGCGGAAAUUUCGUUGCCUAGCAACCUUACGGACUGUAGUCCGCUGGAUGAAAAUAUCGAGCAAACUAACAUGGCGGACAAAGUUGCACGCGUUUGCCAAUAGUUGACGAUAGUUGACAAAUUCCGAGUAAAGAAUGUGUUUCUUAAAGUUUAACGUUUGUAAAAGGUUGUCUAAACGUCUGCGAAGGAAAUUCUUGUGGUGGAGUUUUAAUUGAUCUGCCUAGAGAUAUAAGCAAGUGUACCCUUUCAAACUAUUUGAUGCUUUGAUCUCAGCAAUCUUGUGCACCAUCACUAAUACUUAUGGAUAAGUUAAUUGGAGGUUGUGCAAUGUGUUUAAAGAAAAUUUCUAUGGUGAAUGGAGCGUUGUCUUCAAUGGGGCAUGAUAUUUGCCAUCUUUUGUGGAUAGAUGGGACAAUAAUAAUUAGAAAACCAUUGGCUACUAUAAGAGGGCAUGUGUGACAUGUUUAGUUUCCAUUUCUCUUCCUUCGUCCAAGCCAGGGAGAAAAGGGACUUUAUUUUACCACCCAUGACAUCCAACAUUUAGGAAAAGAAAUGCUACUAUGUCUUAAAGCCAUGAUGAUCAACAUCAAUUCUCACUUGCCCAGGCAUGAAUCAAGUCCAGUUUCUUUGUUACUUAACUGUAGCCUCAUGUAUGACACAAAGAGAAAAAAUGAAAUUUAUAAAGAAUAUGAAGAAUUGGAGGUUGUUGGCAGCCUGCGGUGUACUGAAUACAACACAUAAGGUUUUUGUGAUAUGCUAUUGCAGAGAUGUUAAAGUCACAGAGUUUAAAUUGUAGACCAGACUGUAAAGAAAACCAAAGACUGUUUAAAACUUUUAUUUACUCUAAAAGUUAAUCAGUCAUGAAUUUUAUCCCCUGAUACAUGUAACACAACAAGCUAAAAAGAUUGGGUUAAGUUCAAGGUUUAAUCUAGUAUGAAACUUUUAUUUGAACAAAACUAAAAUUACAUGAUCUAUUUGGGUAACUUCAACAAGAUAGCAUAAAUAUCUCAACAAUACAUUCUAGACCACACCCUCACCUUACAGUUCAUCAACCAGCUAAGACAAAAAUGAUGUCCAGAUGGGAAAUGUGACAGAAUGUCAUAGGUAAAAUGGCAAAGUUUCAGCUGUGUACAAUAUUAGGUAAAGUAGGUGUGGUCAUGUAACCCCUAACUGCAAAAGCACUGAUUCGUAAAAUUAAUAGCUCUUGAUGAAUCAUUGCAUUUUAUCAACCUACAAUACUAUCAAAUGAGUAAUAUUGCAUGUAUUCCAUAGAUGUUUCAUUGAUAAUAUUUAGAUGUUUGAAAUUCUUUAAAAAUGUUAGGUGCAUACAAGCUAUAACAAGCAAUAUAAGAAUUCUUUAAUACAACUGACAAAAAUGAAAGCCUCCCGCCAUCAAUUCUCUUCAUUGGUGAUAAAUAGCCAACUCUAAAAUUAGAUGUACAUUUUACAGCAUUUCAGAAUUUGUUUAACAUGCACUGUGUGAAAUAAAUCAAGUUCAGUUUUAGGCCCUGUUUACAUGAGAUAGUGUGCACCUACUUGGUAGGGCUAACUCCUUUGUUUUUUCUUUUCCCUGGAGGAUUGAAAACAAAAGAGUUUGGCUCUACCCCCUAUCUCAUGUAACCAGGGCCUUAGUAGCAGAAUAUAUUAUUAUUAGGCACUUUAAAGAAAUGCCAUGAUAAUGAUCUGAAUUGACUUUCACAACAACAACUGUCAAGUUAUCAAAAGUGUCAUUCUGCUCAAACAGAAUGCACUGAUUUGAUGGAGCAUGGCAAAAUAACCAAUUAUCUCCAGCAGGGAGUUUGUUCUUGAUAUCCUUAAGAUUAAAGCUAUAUUUGUUUUUAAAUCAUGAAAAAUAAUACAGUUUGCAUACUAGAAAGAAAAAUUCCCAUAUGCUUAAAUUUUUAAAAGAUAUCGUACUUAAAUUUUCAGAGUGGUUAUUUUGGCAUACUCAAGAUCUCUGGUACAUAAAACAUCUUGCACCAUGUACAACGACUUGACUUGGUCAAUGUGUGAUCAUGUCCUGUAAAAAAGUCCUUAAAAUACAUGUUUGUAAUUCUUUUGA